GACUUCUGCCAGUUUCCAUCAGUCCAACAUCAGGACAUGGCUGAGACCCACAACAUGAUGCUGAUGGAGGUCUUCCCACCCUACUGUUCAUUCCUUAACCCCACUCAGGAA